UACGGGGGGGGGCAAGCGUUGUUCGGAAUUACUGGGCGUAAAGGGCUCGUAGGCGGCCAACUAAGUCAGACGUGAAAUCCCCUCGGCUUAACCUGGGAACUGCGUCGGAUACUGAUUGGCUUGAAUCCGGGAGAGGGAUGCGGAAUUCCAGGUGUAGCGGUGAAAUGCGUAGAUAUCCGGAAGAACACCGGUGGCGAAGGCGGCCUGCUGGGCUAUGGCUGACACUGAGGCGCGACAGCGUGGGGAGCAAACAGGG
rnacentral:rRNA from 1 species